UAUUAAGGAUUCUAUUAGUGAUGUUAAGAUCUUUUUGUUACAAAUUCUAUUUUAUCUUCUAUAGACAAGUAUCCAGUACAUUUUCAAGCAAAUUUUAUAAAAUAUGACAUUGUAAUCCUUGUUGUAAAGAUAAGAGCUUAAUCUCUACUAUUCUUUCUUGAUUAUUUUUUCCAAAUAUAGUCAUAAAUAUUUUUGAGAAUGAAUUCAAAUCAUA
rnacentral:lncRNA from 1 species